GAUGAACGCUGGCGGCGUGCCUAAUACAUGCAAGUCGAGCGAACAGACGAGGAGCUUGCUCCUCUGACGUUAGCGGCGGAAGGGUGAGUAAAACGUGGAUAACCUACCUAUAAGACUGGGAUAACUUCGGGAAACCGGGGCUAAUACCGGGUAAUAUAUUGAACCGCAUGGUUCAAUAGUGAAAGACGGUUUUGCUGUCACUUAUAGAUGGAUCCGCGCCGCAUUAGCUAGUUGGUAAGGUAACGGCUUACCAAGGCGACGAUGCGUAGCCGACCUGAGAGGGUGAUCGGCCACACUGGAACUGAGACACGGUCCAGACUCCUACGGGAGGCAGCAGUAGGGAAUCUUCCGCAAUGGGCGAAAGCCUGACGGAGCAACGCCGCGUGAGUGAUGAAGGUCUUCGGAUCGUAAAACUCUGUUAUUAGGGAAGAACAAAUGUGUAAGUAACUAUGCACGUCUUGACGGUACCUAAUCAGAAAGCCACGGCUAACUACGUG
rnacentral:rRNA from 1 species